rnacentral:lncRNA from 1 species
GUCCAUAAAUAAAAUGGCUUGCUCAAGAAACCAGGUUUGAAGUGGAGGUUUGCCGUCACUCCCCAGAUCUGUAUGGAAGUGUCAGAAGUGGAGUCAGCUAGUUAGUUCACCCCAAUAGGUACUGAGAGCUAUUAAGUCUGUACCACUGUGUCGGGAGAGACCAGGAGGAAUCGAGCAGUUAUCACCUGGAGAGCUGUACAUGCACAAGAAAUAACUUUUGGGAGAUCCCAGGCUGUCACCAUCUUGCACUGCCAGCUGUCCUCUCUGAAGGUUGAACUCCUAACAGAAGUUUCCUCAUGUUUGUGGUAGCAGCACCUUGAGAAGUAGAGAAGACAAGAAGAAAAAAGGAGUCAGCACAGAUGACAAGCUCUGCUUUUUAGUGUACAUGGUCUUCCCCAGUAUGCACAUUCUUUUCCUAUUCUUGACUUAUCUCCCUUAACGAUAAAAUGGCCAAGUUAGAAACCCUAGACACUCUUAUUCUCUUUUCUUUCUUUCUUUCUUUUCUUUCUUAAGAGACAGGGUCUCAUUCUGUCACCCAGGCUGGAGUACAGUGGCACAACUGUAGGUAGCUCACUGCAGCCUGAAAUUCCUAGGCUCAAGUGAUUCUCCUGCCUCAGCGACUUCGGAGUGGCUGAGAUUCCAAGCUUAAACCAUUGUGUCCUGCACUUCUCACUUUCAUGGCUGUUAUCCUGGGGGUCAUCAACUUUUCUAGAUCUGAUUACAGAAAUGUCUCUUCUUUUUUCUUUAUUGCUGCUGUUAAAGCUUUGAUCCAGAUCUUUCUCAAGUCUUAGUUAUUUUAGAGUCUGUUAGCUGAUUUUCCUGACAUGCAUCUCUCUCGGUCCUCUAAUCUUCCAUGUACACUGCUGCUGCUGCUGCUGUGAAGCAGAUCUGGUCACCUCAGUCUCUUGGUUGACAAUCUUGCAUUGCUCCCCAUUGCGUGCAUAUGGCUGAAAGUCCUUUCUUUGGCAUCGACAGUCCUUCAUAUUGUCUUUCCUUCAGGAUGUCCCUCUCAUUACUCUUCUCCAUGGUGCCGCAGCUCUCUCACAUUGUCUGUUCACUGCUCCCCAAUCCUCCCUUCACUUUCACUCUUUGACUUUCUGUUCAUGAUGUUUGUACUUCGUGGAACACCCUCCUGCCCUCUCUAGCUGGGUGACUCCUUCACGUUCUUCAAGGCCCAGCCUUGCUGCUUCCUCUUUCAUGAAACCACCUCAGUGCUAUUUUCCAGCUCAGGGGCUUUCCACUUUGUGCUCACAGGAAUUUGUUUGUGCCUUUAUGAUGUCACUUAUCACACUCUGUUUAUCUUUCCUACUACAUUGUAAGCUCAAAAGCAGGAGCAUUAUUCGUUUUGGAAAAAUCUCCAGUACCCAAUCUGUAGAAGUUGCUACAUAAAUGAUGCCUUAUUCACACGCAAACAAAUUAGUGUUUAUUCACCUUCAGCGUGCCUCUUCAUCAUAUUAUUGUGUGAAGCCUGAAAGAACCUCUGAUUCUUGCUUGAAGGUGGAAGAAUUUCACUCUAAACAGCAGCUAGGCUAUCUGAAUGAGGCAGCAGAGGAAAUUUAUUGGUGUAGAAAGAAUGCAGUGGGGUCAGUGCUGCUGUGCAGCAGAUCUUUAGCCAGCUGUAAACAAGCCUGCUAUGUGUGAAAAUAGAGACUUACAAAGCAGGUGUAUUAGAGUACCGUUUUUCAUCUUGUCAAAGGAAUCAUCUUUGCAUUUGCUCCUCUUCUCUAUUCUGUAUCAUAAUCUGUAACACACAAGGGAAUAGCCAUUAGAAAAUUCUGUCGAUUUUCUCUCCUAAAUCUCUAAUUUGAUGACUUUCCUCUAUUUCUCCUGCCUAUGCUCUCGCUGUUUUCUUUCCUCUUCUAGAUUAUUGCAACCUGUCUGACUAGCUUCAGGCUUCAGCUUCAAUAGCACUUCCUUUCAAACCUUUUCUACCCUCCAAGACUGGGUUAGGUGACUUGCCUGCAUGCUCCUAUACCAUAACUGCCUUUAAAAAUUUUUCCUUAUCUCUUAUCAGACUCCAAGUUUCUUAGCAUCCUGAGCUCAUUCAUCUUUUUACUUCCGUUGCCUGCACAUAACAACUGCUCAGUAAAUAUUUAUUGCAUGAAGGAAUUACAAAAGUAUAUAUCCAAAUAUUUUGAACUCUUUUGUUUUUGCAUGAUAUCUACUAAUUGGAGCAAGACACAUUUAUAUUUUGAUGUGGAAAACCAGGCUGCUUAAUGAAAUGAAUUUCACUGGCUUA